UAUCAGUUCCCUUGGGCCUGCACGCGGGCUACCAAUUUUUGGGAUGCAUGCAUAAUUUAAAUCUUGGACCAAUAAAGUAUACUCACAAAUAGUAAACGGUUAUUACUAGAAGUUACUAUCGCAAGGAAAAUGCUGCCUCAGACCCAAGGGAUUAAAGGCAGCAUGCACAAUUUGCUGAAUAAGGGGGGCUGUUUAUAUGAUCCCGCUUUGCCAGGAGAUAUGAGGCAGGAUAAUUUUGAUGUGCUUAACAGUGGCGUGCUGGGUACUAUUUUUCUGGAGGGGCCAGUGGGCUGUCAGCCAAUAGGCGCCCCUCUAAUGUUACACUUGAUAAACGAGGGCCGAAGGCACGAGCCGAGUGCCGCAGGUGCGAGGUUUGUCUUGGGGGGUCCGGGGGCAUGCCCCCCCGGGAAAAUUUUUGAAUUUAGAGUCUCUGAAAUGCCAUUUCCUGGACUUUGGGGGAAGAUUUGACAGAAAUCUGAUGGUCAGGAAACGGCAUUAUAACG